UACGUAGGGGCGAGCGUUGUCCGGAUUUACUGGGCGUAAAGGGUGCGUAGGUGGUUUCUUAAGUCAGAGGUGAAAGGCUACGGCUCAACCGUAGUAAGCCUUUGAAACUGGGAAACUUGAGUGCAGGAGAGGAGAGUGGAAUUCCUAGUGUAGCGGUGAAAUGCGUAGAUAUUAGGAGGAACACCAGUUGCGAAGGCGGCUCUCUGGACUGUAACUGACACUGAGGCACGAAAGCGUGGGGAGCAAACAGGAUUAGAUACCCAGGUAGUCCCUGAG
rnacentral:rRNA from 1 species